CCUCCUCCUCUCUCCCCGUUCCUCCCCCUCCCUCCCCCGUACUCCCAGGUCUCCCAGUUUGGAACGCAGCGGUCCUCUCUCUCGUACCGCAACUCCCCUCCCCCCUGCUCCCACCACCCCUCUCCCCCUCUGUCCGUCCCCCCUCCCCGAGGCUCGGCACGGGAUUCGACGCGUCACCUCGCCCUCGCAGGAGCGCCGCCCACACCUGAACAACCGGUCAACCAGGAGCCCAUAUUUGGAGCAGAGGGGGAGUGGCCAGGGGGCAGAGGGGCGGGACCCUCAGAGGCAGGAGUGGUACACCAAGUACUUCUCCUUCUGAACAUACACACACACACACACACACACACACACACACACACACACAGCUUUAAACACACACACACACACCUGACAGACCAAAACUAUGCUUUGUUCAAUGCCAAUGUAUUGUAUUAUAAUCUAUAAUAUGGAAUAAAGUAUUUUCUAUAUAUUUAA